CUGUGUUUUGCUUUACUUUUCAGCUCACGUGUCGAAGUUGGUUCGAUAUCCAUGACUGUAACUAAUGCUUUGAAUGGGUCCAUUGUAGGUUCCAACCAUUCCACAGUGCGACAGCCUCAAGCAAGCCUGCGAGCAUUGAAGGUGUUGCCAAAUCGCAGAUGAUCACCAUCUUGUUCAGAGCGAAUAAGCGAGCUUCAGAAGGCAAUUAGGAGAAUCGACUCAGACCUCCGCCAAUAGUUGGCUCAGAACUUGAAGAAACCUGUGCGCGUGAAUGGGUUCAAAUUUUCCUUGACCUACAAUGAGGACAUAGAACGUCUUGAACUGACGGUGAAGCGAAAUCGUAGCAUAAGAAAGCAAUACAGAAACUAUCUAUGCACAGUUGUACGGUGGAAAAAUGCUUCGGCUCUUACCCUCAUCUCUAAGGAACUCAUGCUCGAGCUUCCUAGCGUUGGUCACCUUUGUUUCAACAGGACACUACAACAGUUAGAGGAUAAUUCCUAAUCGGUACAUGUCUCGACGGGUAAACGGAUAAUGGUGUAAUUGCCUGGAUGGAGGAACACUGCGAGGAUCGUUCCGGCGGAAUGAGUAUCAAGAAGGACGUCUUCAAACCGAUUGCAUUGGAGAAUUCUCAGGUUUUCACCGUUAAGAGAUGUUUGAAGCAUGGUCAGUACACGGAGUUGAAAAAUGCACGCUUGAGAAAGAACUGAGAAAAAUAGUGUUUAACAUAAAUCGCUGACGAUAGUCCAAUAAGUGUGCUCGAAAAAAAUGAGGAUUAUUGCGGUUAGCAAUGUCCUGAAAAAUAACACAGAAAUAAAAAAGAACAUCCCAAUGAACAACAGACUUGUUUAUUCCAUUUGCCCUAUAUGGACCACGAACGGAAAAUAAUCAGCAUUUAUCGUUUCAGCUUUUCUCGAUCAGCAUUUGCGACCCUCCAAAGCGGAACCAAAAUUGGACAGCAAAAAGCAGGAACUACUGCAAUAUUUGCUGCCUUUCAAGCGCAGCCAACAACCACCACGACGGAAGCUUUCAGUUGAAGGGUUCACCUUCCCAAUCCUCACAUCGGACGAGGUGGACCGGUUGGAGGAAGCGGUGCGGACAAGUAGUAAAACUCGGCAACAGUUCGUAGCAUACCUCGCCGACCGUAAGCCCCGCCACAUGGAUGUGAUUGAAUGUUUUGCCCGGUUUUUUACCGAUGAAGCUAUGGCACCAUUCGCCUGGAAUGGCUGUCGCAAUCCGCGUUUCCCGCGGAAGGCGAUGAAAACGAUGGACAUUUUCACAAAAUGUAUGGUUGAGGCCUGGAGUAAGCAGGGCAUAACCACAAUAGACCAACUGUCGGAGAUUAUGAUGAAGGUUAUUACUAAAAUUGCCGGUCGACGCCGUAGUAACAAUUACAAUCAGCGAAAACGUAUACAACAGUUUUGUGAAAGGCAGAAUGAGGAAAAAUAAAUGUCUUGUAUCGUGAACAGUGUUUUUGACUAGUUUAUAAAUCGCUUACCAAGUAGAAGUCAGUUUUAAAAAUAUGGCUUUUUGUUAUGUUCUCAGGUGAUGGAAAAGAUCCUGUUACUGAAUCGCUGGCAGCGGAAGGUGUCACCGGAUUCAGCUUCCCACUCUUCUGUGAAGAAGAUAUCGAACGUUUGGAGAGAGUAAUUAAAACCAACGCAAAAACACGACAGGAAUAUAUACGGUACCUGGCAGCUAUAGAGCCAUCGCAUACUUCGAUCGAUAAAUGCUUCAACGCCUUAUUCACGGAUUUCUCACUGUAUAACUAUCACAUGGCCGAAACAAACGAAGAAUGCAAUGAACAGAAACGGAAUAUGAGCGAUUAUGAAAUAUUCACGACAUGCAUACGAGAAGCUUGGAAAUCUCAGGACUUAACGGAAGCCGAGCUGAAACACCGUUUGAAACAUGUGAUUACAUCCUUGAAUGAACGCCGUCAGCGAUCAACUGUUAAAAGAAGGAAACGUUCCGAGCUUAUUCAAAUGAUGCUCUUGAAGGAAUGUGGCAAAAUAAAAUCUUAAGUGUUCUUGUCGUCAUACAUUUGGUUUUUUUUAUUAUUCUCAAUUGGAAUCAUCAAAAAGAUACUUCGUCUAUAACAGCUAAACUUCAUUCGUUUCAGAAUCUUGUAAUGUUACAACACAAAAGUCGAGGGAUUUAGACAAACUAAGACUCGAACUAGCUCAAUUGGACUAUCAUUUAAGUCAGCGUUACUCCAACCACGUUGGAUCUGUGACAUCAGUUGAAGGAUUUGUGUUUCCGUUGAAAUCAGAAGCGGAAGUCGAAAUGUUGGAAGCGACCGUUCUUUCGAGUACAUCAAUUCGACAACAAUUUGUCAAUUAUCUGAGAGCAAAAAAAUCACCAUAUGUUGAGCUAGUCGACUGCUUUGAGAAAUUUUUCUAUCUAACCGCCAUACAAGGAUACACAUGGACUGGCUACAGGACGAAUGGGAAGAAAACGAUGAAGGAUUACGCAAUCUUCAGCAGUUGUAUGCUGGAUGCUUGGAAAGAACAAGGACUUGACCAAAAAUCAUUGGAGGAUGGACUGCGGAAAGUGAUCCAACGAAUUCGACGGCGUCGUUUGACGAAGAAAAGCUCUUAAUUUCAACAGUCAUUUGUGAUUUUUGUUAAUAAAUUUGCCGUUUCGCUUCACUAUAAGCAUUAGUCGAUCACCAGAAGGAGCUGAUUGUUAGCACUUCAAAUAAAGACGAGUUUGAAAUGAUGUGUUCGACGUGUUGUUUCCAUUUUUCCACUCUAGAUAGGAUCAUUGGACAUCUCUUUGAUGAAUAUUUGACGUUACAGAAAUCUUCAGAAUUGAUCGCCUACCUGCUGCAACCAAGGACGAUCAGCAUUACACGAUUAGAUCUACGAAACAUAACGAUGAGCU